UUUUUUUUCCACACUUUUUUUUUACAUCGUCUUUUUAUCAUACAUACUAAAAACUAAAACUAACAGUUCGCAAUCGAUGAGUUGAUGCUUAUCGAAGAUAUCGCGUAUAACGUUCGGGACUUCCUCGGGAUUUGUUACAAUAGAUACGAUGUUGGAGAAUCGCGUAUAUUUUCACAACAUCGAUCGUAUCGACGAGUUUGAUUAGUCAAUUGAAUGUUACAUUAAUACAUUCGGCGAGAUUAAACAUACGGUGUAACGUUGAUUCGACCAUCAUCAUGCGUACGUUUAAAAAUUCAAGACGUACGAAUGUAACGUCGUUCAUCAUGCAAACUCGAACUAUUAAUGGUCCGACGCUUAUAAAAUUGUCUUUGUAAUUGUUUCGUAAUUUGUAGAUAUUCCAUCAUUGCUGCUCAUAGAGUCUCUUCCACGUUUCGAAAAACAGUAUCAGUCCUGUCCUCGAUGAUCUCCUAAGGCGAUCUCCACGUAACGCUCGGUGGACCAACAUUGAUUCCAAUUUCCACAAACUUGAAGUCCAUAACCGUCAGGGUGUAACAUCUACUCAGUAAGCGCACCGCGCGAUGCUCCAUCGAAAUACUGUGUAAUGGAAAUUAAGUACAUAAUAUUGCGUAAUUGCAAAAAAAAAAGAAAAAAAAAUAGUCGACACUUACACGUUAUGUUCCUUUUUUGUUUCACCAUCGUACAAUGCGCUGGCGGAGUACAUGCGUGUGGACCGUUUGUACAAUGAAUGAUGGAGGACCAAUCACAUCCGCGUAAAUUUUGACAUAGCAGAGCAUAAAUCACCUCUUUCAAAAGGAGGGGAUGGAAAAGAUCCAAUGGCCUCGCUGAACGGCAGCACUCUACUACGAUCACAUCGGGAACGAGUUUACUUUAUAGUGACUAUAAACAGAAAAAAGACAAAGGAUCGCAUUAUCAAUUAGUUAUCAGAUUUUCGUUUCAAAAAGACCAAAUUAGCUGUAUCAAAAAAUAUGUAAAGUGCCAUGUAAAAAGAAAAAUGUGAAUAAAAAGUUUUACGCUUAAAUUAUAAUACAAUUUCUUUGUCAUCGACGAGUCUGACUAGUCGAUUGAACGUUAUUGAAAAAAAUGUAUAGGAUCGUUGGAAUAUUAAGUAAUCAUCAUCAUCAACGAUAAUGACGGAGAAA